UACGGAGGGGGCUAGCGUUGUUCGGAAUUACUGGGCGUAAAGCGCACGUAGGCGGAUUUGUAAGUCAGGGGUGAAAUCCCGGGGCUCAACCUCGGAACUGCCUUCGAUACUGCGGGUCUCGAGUCCGGGAGAGGUGAGUGGAAUUCCUAGUGUAGAGGUGAAAUUCGUAGAUAUUAGGAAGAACACCAGUGGCGAAGGCGGCUCACUGGCCCGGUACUGACGCUGAGGCGCGAAAGCGUGGGGAGCAAACAGG
rnacentral:rRNA from 1 species